rnacentral:rRNA from 1 species
CGAAUGCUGACAUAAGUAACGAUAAAGCGGGUGAAAAGCCCGCUCGCCGGAAGACCAAGGGUUCCUGUCCAACGUUAAUCGGGGCAGGGUGAGUCGACCCCUAAGGCGAGGCCGAAAGGCGUAGUCGAUGGGAAACGGGUUAAUAUUCCCGUACUUGGUGUUACUGCGAAGGGGGGACGGAGAAGGCUAUGUUGGCCGGGCGACGGUUGUCCCGGUUUAAGCGUGUAGGUGUGUGUUCCAGGUAAAUCCGGUUCACUUUAACACUGAGGCGUGACGACGAGGCACUACGGUGCUGAAGCAACAAAUGCCCUGCUUCCAGGAAAAGCCUCUAAGCAUCAGGUAACAUCAAAUCGUACCCCAAACCGACACAGGUGGUCAGGUAGAGAAUACCAAGGCGCUUGAGAGAACUCGGGUGAAGGAACUAGGCAAAAUGGUGCCGUAACUUCGGGAGAAGGCACGCUGACACGUAGGUGAAGUGAUUUACUCAUGGAGCUGAAGUCAGUCGAAGAUACCAGCUGGCUGCAACUGUUUAUUAAAAACACAGCACUGUGCAAACACGAAAGUGGACGUAUACGGUGUGACGCCUGCCCGGUGCCGGAAGGUUAAUUGAUGGGGUCAGCGCAAGCGAAGCUCCUGAUCGAAGCCCCGGUAAACGGCGGCCGUAACUAUAACGGUCCUAAGGUAGCGAAAUUCCUUGUCGGGUAAGUUCCGACCUGCACGAAUGGCGUAAUGAUGGCCAGGCUGUCUCCACCCGAGACUCAGUGAAAUUGAACUCGCUGUGAAGAUGCAGUGUACCCGCGGCAAGACGGAAAGACCCCGUGAACCUUUACUAUAGCUUGACACUGAACAUUGAGCCUUGAUGUGUAGGAUAGGUGGGAGGCUUUGAAGUGUGGACGCCAGUCUGCAUGGAGCCGACCUUGAAAUACCACCCUUUAAUGUUUGAUGUUCUAACGUGGACCCGUUACCCGGGUUGCGGACAGUGUCUGGUGGGUAGUUUGACUGGGGCGGUCUCCUCCUAAAGAGUAACGGAGGAGCACGAAGGUUGGCUAAUCCUGGUCGGACAUCAGGAGGUUAGUGCAAUGGCAUAAGCCAGCUUGACUGCGAGCGUGACGGCGCGAGCAGGUGCGAAAGCAGGUCAUAGUGAUCCGGUGGUUCUGAAUGGAAGGGCCAUCGCUCAACGGAUAAAAGGUACUCCGGGGAUAACAGGCUGAUACCGCCCAAGAGUUCAUAUCGACGGCGGUGUUUGGCACCUCGAUGUCGGCUCAUCACAUCCUGGGGCUGAAGUAGGUCCCAAGGGUAUGGCUGUUCGCCAUUUAAAGUGGUACGCGAGCUGGGUUUAGAACGUCGUGAGACAGUUCGGUCCCUAUCUGCCGUGGGCGCUGGAGAACUGAGGGGGGCUGCUCCUAGUACGAGAGGACCGGAGUGGACGCAUCACUGGUGUUCGGGUUGUCAUGCCAAUGGCACUGCCCGGUAGCUAAAUGCGGAAGAGAUAAGUGCUGAAAGCAUCUAAGCACGAAACUUGCCCCGA